UAAAAAAUUUGAAAUCUAUUCGGUUAUAGAUUAUGGAUCUUGUUAUCUUAAAUAAUUCGUUUAAACACAUAUAUUAUUUAUAAGCUAAGAUUUCCAUUUUAAUCGGGUUGGUGAUGUUAUUUGUUGUUUUCGUUAAUUGAGUUUCUCUAGUUAAAGUUAUCUAAAGUAAAGGUAAUAAGGAUUUUUUUUAAUUUAAUUAGCUAAUGUUUGAUUAAGAUUACAUGGGUUGGGUGACAAGAGUCUUACCCUCGUACUUUCCUUUAUUUUGCUGAAUAAUCACCUAAUCACUUAUAUUAUAUUAUUUUAUUUUAAUUUAUUUUUCCUCAAAAAAAUUCAUUCUAGAAAGAUCCAAAAAGAAAGAAAAAUGGAGAACCCUCAUUUUCUCUCUCUCACUCUCGUCGAUCUUUCUCUCUCUUCAACUGCUCCCCUCUCCCUCAUUUCGGCGAACGCCGACCAUCCUCUUCGUCGACGCUCCGACUCAUGUUGUUGUGGUGUCGCUGCUUUGCUACUGCUUCACAGAGUCUCGCCUCUCUCCCCUUCUCCUUCGAUUUUGCUCCGCCUCACGCCGCCACCAUGGUGGUCGUUGCUGCCGCCGUUGCUACUGCCUCACAAAUGGGUAACCUCUUUAUCCUAGCCUGUUAAUUAUUUGAAUUGCUUAGAAUCCCAAUUCAGGAAACCCUAACUUCCUCUUCUUUGGCUUCUCUCUCCUCUUCGGGUGCGACACAUCCUUGCCGGAGCUCCGCGGUCCUACUGGAGCUGUUGCUGUUGCAGUUGCAAUUUAUCUACUGUUGUUGCUGAAUUUCCUUCUUAUGGGUAUAAUUAUUUUCCAAUUCUAUUUAUUCCUAUUAAUCUAUAUCAAUUAGAUUAUAAUAGUUUAUGGAAAUAAAUUGUUAUUAUUUAUUUUGAUUAUAUAAAAAUGAGUUUUGAUUAUUAAAGCGUGUUUGAUUAAUGUUCAGUUAUACCAAAUGGUUUCUAAAUAAGAGUGUAAUUUAGUUUUCAAAACCUAUUUUAGUAAAUAAGAAAAUUAUACAAUUAUGAAUAUUAGUCACAAUUACUUUAGCUUUCCUAAUAUAGUAUACAUGCUAAGCUUUUGAAAUAAGUUUUCAGGAAUCGGUUUAGAUUUCUCAACAAAAUGAUGAUUUAGUCUUUAGUUUACUUUAAGAAAAGAGGAUAUUAAUUCAUGUCUUUCUUGUGGAGGUGAACGUUUGGGGUUUGAUUAAGGAUAAUGAAAUGAUGAAGUAGAAGUGGAUUGGUAGUGGAUUGUGGCUUGGAAUUUUUGUGCGGCAAUUGAAGAGUUAAAAUGUUUUGCAGGUAGCAAGAGUUAGGUCUCAGUUCAGAUUCAAGGUUCGUAGAUUUCUUCAAUGACCUUACGUGUCCAAGGUUGGAUUGUGGAUUCGCCAAAUGUAAUUUAUUUCCUAGAGUUUGUUAAUGGGGUGUAUAAUUUCUUCUUAAAGCUUUUGGUUUAUAAUUUAUGGGUUGUGUAUCUGUAUUGGAGUCGUAGUGAAGUUAAGUUUCUUUGGUUUAAAGUUAAGUGUGCUUAGAAGUAGCUCAUUAAGUGUAGGCUGUACAGUGACACUCUGGUGAUGUUUGGGAUAUGUUAUAUGUUGAAAUGAUGAAUUUGAAGCAGGUGAAAGAGAA